rnacentral:rRNA from 1 species
GACGAACGCUGGCGGCGUGCUUAACACAUGCAAGUCGAACGGAAAGGCCCUGCUUUUGUGGGGUGCUCGAGUGGCGAACGGGUGAGUAACACGUGAGUAACCUGCCCUUGACUUUGGGAUAACUUCAGGAAACUGGGGCUAAUACCGGAUAGGAGCUCCUGCUGCAUGGUGGGGGUUGGAAAGUUUCGGCGGUUGGGGAUGGACUCGCGGCUUAUCAGCUUGUUGGUGGGGUAGUGGCUUACCAAGGCUUUGACGGGUAGCCGGCCUGAGAGGGUGACCGGCCACAUUGGGACUGAGAUACGGCCCAGACUCCUACGGGAGGCAGCAGAGGGGAAUAUUGCACAAUGGGCGGAAGCCUGAUGCAGCAACGCCGCGUGCGGGAUGACGGCCUUCGGGUUGUAAACCGCUUUCGCCUGUGACGAAGCGUGAGUGACGGUAAUGGGUAAAGAAGCACCGGCUAACUACGUGCCAGCAGCCGCGGUGAUACGUAGGGUGCGAGCGUUGUCCGGAUUUAUUGGGCGUAAAGGGCUCGUAGGUGGUUGAUCGCGUCGGAAGUGUAAUCUUGGGGCUUAACCCUGAGCGUGCUUUCGAUACGGGUUGACUUGAGGAAGGUAGGGGAGAAUGGAAUUCCUGGCGGAGCGGUGGAAUGCGCAGAUAUCAGGAGGAACACCAGUGGCGAAGGCGGUUCUCUGGGCCUUUCCUGACGCUGAGGAGCGAAAGCGUGGGGAGCGAACAGGCUUAGAUACCCUGGUAGUCCACGCUGUAAACGGUGGGUACUAGGUGUGGGGUCCAUUCCACGGGUUCCGUGCCGUAGCUAACGCUUUAAGUACCCCGCCUGGGGAGUACGGCCGCAAGGCUAAAACUCAAAGGAAUUGACGGGGCCCCGCACAAGCGGCGGAGCAUGCGGAUUAAUUCGAUGCAACGCGUAGAACCUUACCUGGGUUUGACAUGGAUCGGGAGUGCUCAGAGAUGGGUGUGCCUCUUUUGGGGUCGGUUCACAGGUGGUGCAUGGCUGUCGUCAGCUCGUGUCGUGAGAUGUUGGGUUAAGUCCCGCAACGAGCGCAACCCUUGUUCACUGUUGCCAGCACGUUAUGGUGGGGACUCAGUGGAGACCGCCGGGGUCAACUCGGAGGAAGGUGGGGAUGACGUCAAGUCAUCAUGCCCCUUAUGUCCAGGGCUUCACGCAUGCUACAAUGGCUGGUACAGAGAGUGGCGAGCCUGUGAGGGUGAGCGAAUCUCGGAAAGCCGGUCUCAGUUCGGAUUGGGGUCUGCAACUCGACCUCAUGAAGUCGGAGUCGCUAGUAAUCGCAGAUCAGCAACGCUGCGGUGAAUACGUUCCCGGGGCU